rnacentral:rRNA from 1 species
GUGUUCUUCCACAGAAAGAUAAAAAUUCGCAUCCCGUCCGCUCUAAGGUAAACAAGAAUCUCGUCGACUAGUCAUUACUACAGUGGGUAGCCGUGGGGGAAUCCUGGUUGCCGAACUCU